UAACUUAGUGGUCUAUUUGAGCUGCAAGAUUUCUGGUUUCUUCCUCUGCUCUGUAAUUGCCCACUCUGCCCUGGAUCAGCACUGUGCUCUCACUGCAACCCACCUCCGAUCCCAGCAUCCACCAGCAUAACCUUUUCAAGCCUAGAGAGAGGUCUAUAUCCGGCAGAGAGAUGCAGCUGAGGUCCAGGCGGAUUUACAACAAGCUGCCAGAGGUGACAAAGAGAAAGGAAGA